UAUUCAUAUCAGCUUCUUAUUUCUUGAGAAAUAUCAAAUUUGGUGGUUUUGAGGAUGAGCACUACGAAACUAGUUUUGGCUCUUUCUUUAUCUCAUCGUCAAUGUGCAUCUGAAGCGUAGCUUUGCAAAAGCUUCAACUACAUCGAUAAUUUUCUUUCUAUUAUGAGCCAAAACCUGGAAGUGUUAGUGGGAUUCCUGGUUACUAUACUAUUGAUGAUUUACAGCUGACUUUAGAAGUACAUAUGAAAUUUAAAUUGAUUUUGUCAGUCCCAAGUCACAUCUAAUAUAUGACUCGUACAUUUUGAUGGCUCCCUAUUGAAUCUGACAUUUGGCUCCUGCAUAUGCAUAAUGUUCCUUAGUUCAUCUGUUAAUUUACUACUAUCUCAUUCAAUUGUUUCAGUCGGCUGAUAUUCUUCAUGUAUUUUUACCAGCCGUAGUUUUUGUACCUUUAAUAUUAAGGUAAUUGUAAAUUUCAAGGCAAAUGAAAUCGUUAUCAAGUGGGGCUUAGUAAUUAAUACUAUUAAUGGACGAAGGCAUUAUGUUGUCUGAUGCCAAAUUUUAAUUUUCCUUUGCACAAUAAUCAAAACGAAAUAUUUUUAA